rnacentral:rRNA from 1 species
UACGAAGGGGGCUAGCGUUGUUCGGAAUUACUGGGCGUAAAGCGCACGCAGGCGGCUUCUUAAGUCGGAGGUGAAAUCCUGGAGCUCAACUCCAGAACUGCCUUCGAUACUGGGAAGCUCGAGUCCGGGAGAGGUGAGUGGAACUGCGAGUGUAGAGGUGAAAUUCGUAGAUAUUCGCAAGAACACCAGUGGCGAAGGCGGCUCACUGGCCCGGUACUGACGCUGAGGUGCGAAAGCGUGGGGAGCAAACAGG